UCUCUGGCAAACAUCGAUGAAGUCGUGAACAAAAUUAGACUGAAAAUAAGGAGACUGGAUGACAACAUUCGAACUGUCGUAAGAGGUCAAACAAAUGUGGGGCAGGAUGGCCGGCAAUUCUGCCUGAUUGUUCCAGCCUGUUGAGACCUUCUGGAAUCUUCAUGACCUUCGCAUUUAUCAUGAGCGGAUUUGCCAGAUGGGCCUUCUAUGUCUUCAUUCAAGUUGCAUAUGAAAAGGUUGACCAGGAUGGGUUCAGAGUCAUGUGGCAUGCUAUUAGAGACUUCUCAUUUUUCUCUUCUUAUCCUCAUUUUAGUACAAAGUGCCAGGCCCAGGAGACAAAGGAUUGUUUUUCCGGUCUUCGGUAUCCGUCCAAGGCUGUGUUUCUUAAUUUUUCUGUGUUCUUCAUUUUCCUCAGCAAAGGAGGCUAAUCAUACUUGCCUUCUUCUCUUUUACACAGAGAUAUCGUAAAGAUUUAUUAACUAAAUCAGCAAAGCAUGUUGCCUUCCAAGGAGAAAGUGUUCUUUGCUUUUCACCCUCAAAAUUAGUAUGUCAUCUGAGUCAGGCCUUAGAGCAAAAAUAAUUGUGCUCUCCAAGACCCUGCACUAGGUAGACGGACUUCGCAGUAUAGCCCCGAUCUUCAUCAUGUGGGAUUAUCACUUUAUAAUUGUCAGCUCUCUUGCAAGAUGGCUUGAAUCUUCCCCUCCAUCAUUUCAGAUAUAUCCUUUCGCUCAUCUUUUCUUUGGGAGGAAAAUGAAGCCCAUUGAUGGAAGAAAAUAAAUGGCACUUAGUAGUAAAGGGACCGGGACUUCCCUGGUGGCUCAGUGGUAAAGACCUCGCGCUCCCAGUGCAGGGGGCCCGGGUUCGAUCCCUGGUCAAGGAACUAGAUCCCACAUGCGUGCCACCACUAAGAGUUCGCGUGCCACAAUCAAGGAGCCGGCGAGCCACAACUAUGGAGCCCACCUGCUGCAACUAAGGAGCCCGCCUGCCACAACUGAGACCUGGCACAACUAAAUAAAUUAAUUUAAUUUAAUUUUAAAAAAUACUUUAAACUAGUAGAGGAACCAUAAAUAGUUUGGGGAGGAAAAAAAAAAAGGCAACUGUCACUUGCUUCCUCCUACUGAAACAUACUAAAUCUAAAGCAAGUGAGCUUUUUAAAUUGUAGGCUCAAAUUUUUCCAUUUGUGACCGAGAAUGGUUAGGCAUUCUUUGGUUUCUUUUAGAUUUUUUUUGAAUUAUAUUUUUCAGACUGCAGACAACACUGAAUGAACUUCAGCAAUUGCUAAGGUGUGAGAAUGGCCUGGGAGUGCAGCACACCUGUGAUUCAGUGGGGCAGUGCUGGAGUCAGGGUGUAGUUGAGCCUUUUGCAGGGGCCAGCGUCCCUGGUUUUGACUGGGACUCUCCGCCAUUCCCCAACCAGGAUUUCUUCCAUCUGGUGCAGAGGUCAGUGUUGGCUUGCUUUUAUUUGAUAAGUUGCAUCCAAGUGAGUGUUCAGUUUCCCAUGCUUCUAGUGCACUGUUGGCUGUAGUUGAGGCAAGGACUCAUAGAAUGUCCAGUGUCGAGCAC